rnacentral:sRNA from 1 species
AGACCGGCUCGGGGACGGGGAGCGGGCGGCGCGGCCAUGGCGGGCUGCUGCGCCGCGCUGGCGGCCUUCCUGUUCGAGUACGACACGCCGCGCAUCGUGCUCAUCCGCAGCCGCAAAGUGGGGCUCAUGAACCGCGCCGUGCAGCUGCUCAUCCUGGCCUACGUCAUCGGGUGGGUGUUUGUGUGGGAAAAGGGCUACCAGGAAACUGACUCCGUGGUCAGCUCUGUUACGACCAAGGUCAAGGGCGUGGCUGUGACCAACACUUCUAAACUUGGAUUCCGGAUCUGGGAUGUGGCGGAUUAUGUGAUACCAGCUCAGGAGGAAAACUCCCUCUUCGUUAUGACCAAUGUGAUCCUCACCAUGAACCAGACCCAGGGCCUGUGCCCCGAGAUUCCAGAUGAGACCACUGUGUGUGAAUCAGAUGCCAACUGUACUGCCGGCUCUGCCGGCACCCACAGCAACGACCUGCUUUUUUAAAGGCUGCAGAAAACUUCACUCUUUUGGUUAAGAACAACAUCUGGUACCCCAAAUUUAAUUUCAGCAAG